rnacentral:rRNA from 1 species
GACGAACGCUGGCGGCGUGCCUAAUACAUGCAAGUCGAACGCAGUGGGGAGGGGGGAGUAAAACGUGGGUAACCUCCCAUCAGAGGGGAUAACACUUGGAAACAGGAGCUAAACCGAUAGUGAUGGAUGAACUCGGGGUGCAUUAGCUAGUUGGUGUGGGAACGGCUCACCAAGGCCACGAUGCAUAGCCUACCUGCGAGGGUGAUCAGCCCCACUGGGACUGAGACACGGCCCAGAUUCCUACGGGCGGCAGCAGUCGGGAAUCUUCGGCAAUUGACGAAAGUCUGACCGAGCAACGCCUCGUGUUUGAAGAAGGUUUUCGGAUUGUAAAGCUCUGUUGUCGGAGACGCGGUAUCUCCCCAGAAAGCCCCGGCUAACUCCGUGCCAGCAGCCGCGGUAAUCC